CAGGUCAUUCAACAUUUAUUCAACCAAAAAUACUAAGUCAGCUCUAUACAAACUAAUGGAAGGAUACAGCUAUGCAAAUAUAGAACACUAAAGUGUUACAUGACAGAUGUAUGAGCAGAACUGGGAAGAAAGGACCCUGAAAAGUUAGCUGGUUCCAAGUGACCCUCCAAGGGGAAGAGUGCUGGAUUCAGAGCCCACCUCAGGGGAAGACAGGACCCUCUCCAAGAUGGUUUCCCUAGAAGCUACUACCUCUCCCUGGAGGGUGGAGAUAUUUGCUGGUCAAAGCAAGAAGGCCCUCUGCAGAUGCUGACACCUUGAUAUUGGACUUCCCAGAUUCCAGAACUCUGAGAAAUAAAUUUCUAUUUUAAAUAAAUUACCCAGUCUGUGAUAUUCUGUUAUAGCAACACAAAAUGGACUUAGACGGUAUGCUAAUGAGAUGACUGCUGGCAGGGAGCUCUGAAAUAACUUUAGGAUAGGGGCUGGUUACUACAAAAACAAAGGCAUGUUUAGUGGGUUGGGACUUUCAGCCUAUACCUCAACCUCUGGGGAGGGGAGAGGGCCUGAAGUUUGAGUUGAUCACUAAUGGCCAAUGAUGUAAUCAAUCAUGCCUGUGUAAUGAAGGCUUUACAGAAAACCAAACAGGGUUUGCAGACUUUCUUGAUUGCUGAACACAUGGAGGUUCCUGGAGGGUGGUGUGCCCAGAGAGGUCAUGGAAGCUCCAUGCCCCUUCUCCAAUACCUCACCAGAUGCAUCUCUCUCAUCUGGAUGUUCAUCUCUAUCCUUUGUAAUAUCCUUCGUAGUAAAUGGUCAAACUUAAGUAAAGUGUUUCCCUGAGUUCUGUGA
rnacentral:lncRNA from 1 species